UACGUAGGGGGCAAGCGUUGUCCGGAUUUAUUGGGCGUAAAGCGCGUGUAGGCGGCCACGCAGGUCCGCUGUGAAAACUCGAGGCUCAACCUCGAGAUGUCGGUGGAAACCGCGUGGCUAGAGUCCGGAAGAGGAGAGUGGAAUUCCCGGUGUAGCGGUGAAAUGCGCAGAUAUCGGGAAGAACACCCAUGGCGAAGGCAGCUCUCUGGGACGGUACUGACGCUGAGACGCGAAAGCGUGGGGAGCGAACAGGAUUAGAUACCCUGGUAGUCCACGCCGUAAACGAUGGAUGCUAGGUGUGGGCGGUGUCGACUCCGUCCGUGCCGAAGCUAACGCAUUAAGCAUCCCGCCUGGGGAGUACGGCCGCAAGGCUA
rnacentral:rRNA from 1 species